UAUUUAUAAAUUUUGUAGGUGUGUGUUGCCAGUAAUAGUUGAAGAUAUGCCAAACAAAUUGUGUCACUCUAUACAGACAGAUUUAAGGUCUCAAUUUCGACUUCAAAGGUCAACAUAUCACUGAUAUCAGGGACUUUACAUCUCACAGUCAUUUCAACAUGUAGAGUCUUGUCGACAAUGAUGGAUCAGUACAUCAGAUUUCCAGAAUCUCGUCAUAAGCUGAAGACCAUUGCCGAUGGAUUUCAUUAACUACACUGUAUGUGGAAUGCCUGGCGUUGUAGGGGCUGUUGAUGGAUCCCACAGUGCAUGUCCUGCUCCAACAUCCGAGCAUAGGUCCUUGUUUAUCAACAGUUUAGUUCUUCAAGCAGUCUGUGACAGUAGGCCCUUACUUGAAAUGUUUGGACAUAUGCCCUGGAUGGCCAAGUUCUGUACAUGAUGCCCAUGUAUAUAUGAACAGCCCAGCAGCGCAUUAAAUUGAAAAUCUUCGGAAUGACUACCAUGUUCUCGAGGAUUCAGCAUACCACCUGACAAGAAAUCUGCUUGUUCUGUAUCGAGGCCAUGAACAUUUGUACCAUUUGCGAGAGAAAUUCAACAAGUGUCAUUCAUCUAAGAGUUGAUUUGGAACGGGCAAUUGGUCUCUUGAAAUGCAAAUUCAGGCUGCUAAAAUACUUGAACAUACUUGGAGCUGGAGAUGUUCCUAGUGAUCUUUGCUUGUUGUGUCCUUCACAACUUCAUUCUGCUGCAAGAGUCAGACACAGAACCUGAAGUUGACACAUUUGAUCAGAUAGACAUAUAUGCCUCCGAGGCAGUUGGAAAUGGUCAGGCCCACCGAGAAGCAGAUGAGAAGUGGCGUGCUAUUGCCCUGGAACUGUGAUGGGUUGACAAGUGAUAUGACUUCCCUACUGCGAUAUUUGUGCCUGUGUUCAUGCUUAAUAGUUGAUAAAUAAUUGGAAGUCAUAACCUGAUGGUGUUGGUGGGACUAUGAAAUUUGUUAAGGUAAAAAGUGUGGAAAAUAUAAUUAAAAGUCAAAGAGUUCUGCUAUUGUUAAGCAUGCUUUAUUGAGUUGUAUUGUUUAAAAGAUAGCAUUAUUAACAGAAUAAAAUGUCCAUAAUUUGAA